GAUGAACGCUGGCGGCGUGCCUAAUACAUGCAAGUCGAGCGAACAGACGAGGAGCUUGCUCCUCUGACGUUAGCGGCGGACGGGUGAGUAACACGUGGAUAACCUACCUAUAAGACUGGGAUAACUUCGGGAAACCGGAGCUAAUACCGGAUAAUAUCUUGCACCGCAUGGUUCAAUAGUGAAAGACGGUUUUGCUGUCACUUAUAGCUGGAUCCGCGCCGCAUUAGCUAGUUGGUAAGGUAACGGCUUACCAAGGCAACGAUGCGUAGCCGACCUGAGAGGGUGAUCGGCCACACUGGAACUGAGACACGGUCCAGACUCCUACGGGAGGCAGCAGUAGGGAAUCUUCCGCAAUAGGCGAAAGCCUGGCGGAGCAACGCCGCGUGAGUGAUGAAGGUCUUCGGAUCGUAAAACUCUGUUAUUAGGGAAGAACAAAUGUGUAAGUAACUAUGCACGUCUUGACGGUACCUAAUCAGAAAGCCACGGCUAACUACGUG
rnacentral:rRNA from 1 species